AGAGUUUGAUCCUGGCUCAGGAUGAACGCUAGCGGCAGGCCUAAUACAUGCAAGUCGAACGGUGAUAUUUAUAUCAUAGUGGCGCACGGGUGCGUAACACGUAUGCAACCUACCUAUUAUUGGGGGAUAGCCUUUGGAAACGGAGAUUAAUACCGCAUAAUACGAUUGACUGGCAUCGGUUGAUUGUUAAAGCUUCGGCGAUAAUAGAUGGGCAUGCGUCCAAUUAGUUAGUUGGUUAGGUAACGGCUGACCAAGACGAUGAUUGGUAGGGGAUCUGAGAGGAUAAUCCCCCACACUGGCACUGAGAUACGGGCCAGACUCCUACGGGAGGCAGCAGUAGGGAAUAUUGGGCAAUGGGCGGAAGCCUGACCCAGCCAUGCCGCGUGCAGGAAGAAGGCGUUAUGCGUUGUAAACUGCUUUUUUAUAGGAAGAAGGAUCCCUUGCGAGGAAAGGUGACGGUACUAUAAGAAUAAGCACCGGCUAACUCCGUGCCAGCAGCCGCGGUAAUACGGAGGGUGCAAGCGUUGUCCGGAUUUAUUGGGUUUAAAGGGUGCGUAGGCGGUUUAUUAAGUCAGUGGUGAAAGACGGUCGCUCAACGAUUGCAGUGCCAUUGAUACUGGUAGACUUGAGUGAG
rnacentral:rRNA from 1 species